GCUUUGACCUUAAAGUACAGUGCCUUGCCAAAGUACUCGUCCCCCUUGAACUUUUUGACCUUUUGCCACAUUUCAGACUUCAAACAUAAAGAGAUAAAAGUGUAAUUUUUGUUGAAGA